UACGGAGGGUGCGAGCGUUAAUCGGAAUUACUGGGCGUAAAGCGUGCGUAGGUGGCCCUUUAAGUCAGGUGUGAAAGCCCCGGGCUCAACCUGGGAACUGCAUCUGAUACUGGCGGGCUAGAGUUUAAGAGAGGGGAGUGGAAUUCCGGGUGUAGCGGUGAAAUGCGUAGAGAUCCGGAGGAACACCAGUGGCGAAGGCGGCUCCCUGGCUUAAAACUGACACUGAGGCACGAAAGCGUGGGUAG
rnacentral:rRNA from 1 species